CGGAGGGGCUGCGGCCCCGGACCCAGGCGUCCGGGUGCAGGAACUGGCCCGAGUAGUCGGAGCAGUUGCUCAGCCGGGGACGGUAGAAGCCAGGGUGGGGCCUGUACAUGUCCUCGGCGGUGUACCUCUUCAUAAACAGGAACAGAGCCCCCGCCUUGGAGUGACCGUACAUUCAUUUUGGAAUUCAAAGGAGAACAGGAGUUUCCUCCUGAGGACCCUGCUUAGCCCAGCAACUUCUCAAUAGCAGAUGGUUGCAGGUCCCGAGAUCACACCUGGGCUUAUGCUGAUGCGGUGACUCAGAGGCCAACCAUGUGAUCAGAGGAUGGGAGUCUUGAGCCAGGUGCGAUGAGCCUAACCUCUGGGGGAGGGAAGGGACUGGAGAUUGAGUUCAGUCAGUCAUGCCUGCAUAAUACACCCAAUAAAUCUCUGGACACCCAAGCUCGGUGGAUCUUCCUGACUGAUGAACACACAAAUGCUUUAGGAUGUGGCAUGUCCUGCCUUGAUGAGGAAAGGAAAUAAAGCUCUA